rnacentral:rRNA from 1 species
UACAGAGGUCUCAAGCGUUGUUCGGAUUCAUUGGGCGUAAAGGGUGCGUAGGUGGCGUGGUAAGUCGGGUGUGAAAUUUCGGAGCUUAACUCCGAAACUGCAUUCGAUACUGCUGUGCUUGAGGACUGGAGAGGAGACUGGAAUUUACGGUGUAGCAGUGAAAUGCGUAGAGAUCGUAAGGAAGACCAGUGGCGAAGGCGAGUUUCUGGACGGUAACUGACGCUGAGGCACGAAGGCCAGGGGAGCAAACGGG